UUCUGGCGUGUUUUUCAGCAGGCUGUAUUCCCUGUUCUUGUCUGACGUGUUUGUUCAGCAAGUUAUUUCCAGCAAGUUGUUAUUUUCUGGUGUGUUUUUCAGCAGACCAUUUUCAGCAAGUCACUAUUUUCAGCAAGUUAUUCCCUGUCCGUUUCUGGUGUGGUUUCAGCAGGCUACUUUUAUUUGCUGUUUGGGAAUGUGAAAGAAACGUGUGCAUGUUCCUUUGUUUCGUGUUAUUCCUGUUGUCCACGUGAAGUUGCUGCUUAUAUACAGUUUAUCGUGGUAUUCUUAUCCUUGCUGUGAUUUAUUAUGGCUGAGAGCCGCAAUUCCGAGGGUGGUAACGAUCACAAAGGAGGUGGAAAUCCCUUCUCCUAUGGAUCUACAGUUAAACUAGAUGGACACAACCUAUGUCACACGGAUACGGCAAACUGGGUCGAGUACCGGUGUCGACACGCGGACACGGGGAUCUCGACACGGCGAUACGGCUGGAUACGUUUUGGAUCGGGUCUGGGUCAGACCCGAUCCAAACCACUUGUAUAACCGAUUUUUUAACCCGCGUUUUGUUUUACGCACUAACAUCUACCCUCGACGCUCGACCUUCGUUUACCCUCCACGGCUUCCGCAGCAGGCUGGCAGCACAGUAAGGCAAUGGCGGGCGACGGCGAGCUCCGGCGAUCGACGGCGACUUCCGGUGGCGUCCGGCGGCAGCCAGCGACAGACAGGUAAGUGUUUUGUCGAUUAUUUUCGAUAAUAGAAGUUAGGGUUUCAACUUUUAUUUGGGGAUUUUUUACAUUGGGUAUUAAAAUCUGAUUUGGGGAUGUUUUGGUUUGAAGAUUGGACGGUUUAGAAUCAUAUUCUUCAAUGCUAUGUGCGAUGUUUUCUUUUUUUUUGUUUGAUUUUGGGAUUUGGGGAUUUUGCCGUUUUGGGUGUAUAACCGAUUUGGGGAUUUUGCCUUCGCUGUUGUUCAUGAUGCUAGACAAUGAUGAAUACGUGAUAUCUAGAUGGCAUUAACAUAUAAUUUACCAUUCGUGAAUGUUCCUGUUCACUGUUCACUAUUCACUUCAGCCUUCGCUAUUGUUCAUGUUUCUUUUAGUUUUAGGCUUUAACGAACUGCUUCUGUUCCUGUUCACUAUUCAGUCUGGCAGUACUAUCAUUUACAAUUCCUGAAUGUUCCUGUUCACUAUUCAGCCUUCGUUCUGCUUCUGAAUAUCUGAAGUUUUGUGACUGCAGUGCAUGUUUAUACUUUGUCAGUUUGUUGUAUUGUUUUAUUUCAUAAAUUUUAUGUUCAUUAUACGUUUUUUCCAUUUUUUUAUUAUGUUUAAUCUAGUAUGGCGAGCAAAGGAAAAACAGUGUCUCAGUCUCAAGACUCUCAACCUACAAGUUGUGGUUCUGGAUCAGCUACACCUCAGCCACCAUUAUGGUCAUACGUGAAUCUAAUGGGGAAACCUCCUGGAGGCGGUGGAAAUGCUUUUUUUAGGUGUAAUUUUUGUGAGGGACAGUUCAAUGGAUCAUAUACAAGAGUGAAAGCACAUCUAUUAAAAAUCAGUCAAAAAGGAAUUCAACCAUGUAAGAAAAUCACUAACGAGACUUUGGCUCAGUUGAAGAAAGAACAAAAAGCCUUUGAGAAUAAGAAAAGCACAUCAUCUGGAUCUGGUUUCAUUGACAUUGCUUCAAUUUUACAUGAUGAUAUUCAGAAUCCUACCAAAAAAAGAAAAGUUGUUGAUGUUCAUCAGAAAUCAAUUAAGGAUUCAUUUAGUUUACAAGGACGGCGAGAAUUAGAUCUAAAAGUGGCGACAUUUUUCUAUGCUAAUUGCAUACCAUUUAAUGUAGCUAGAAGUCCAUAUUGGAGAGACUUAGUUACAUCUAUUGCAAAUUCUAACUUGACUGGGUAUGUUCCCCCUAGUUCUGAAAGGCUUCGCACUGUACUACUAGAAUAACAGAUGACUCGAGUGAACAAAUUGUUAGAGUCUCAAAAGUUCACUUGGGAUCAACACGGAGUUUCUAUUGUUUCUGAUGGCUGGACAGAUUUGCAACGACGCCCUCUUAUUAAUUUCAUUGCAACUUCAGCAAAUGGACCAAUUUUCUUGAAAGCAAUAGAUGCAUCUGGUGAAUACAAAAGUGCUGAGUAUCUGAAAGGAUUGUUUAUGGAAAUAAUUGAAGAAGUGGGGAAAGAAAACGUUGUUCAGCUAAUUACAGACAAUGCACCUGUAUGUAGAGCAGCUGGUAUUGCGAUAGAAAAGGAGUACCCUCAUAUCUUUUGGACUUCUUGUGCAGUUCAUAGCUUAAAUUUGGCUCUAAAGAGUAUAUGCAAUCCACCAAGUAAAGAGCAAGAUCCUCAUGCUUAUGAAUUAUGUUCGUGGAUUGAAGACUUGGAAAAGGAUGUGAGGAACAUCAGAAAUUUCAUAGUAAAUCAUCAACAUGCACUUUCCAUUUAUAACAAGCAUUCUGAUCUAAAAUUAUUAAGAGUUGCAGAGACACGUUUUGCAUCUCUAAUUGUUAUGGUCAAAAGGAUAAAAAGGGUGAAAAGUGCAUUGAUCAGUAUGGUGACUGAUGAUGAUUGGAGUUUCUACCGUGCUGAUGAUGAUGACAAAGCUCAAGCAAUCAAAGGAAUGAUUCUUGAAGACAAGUGGUGGGAUCAAAUCUUUUAUUUUCUUGCAUUCACAGAGCCGAUCUGGGAGAUGUUGAGAGUUCUUGAUUGUGAUAAUUCAACGUUGCACUGUGUGUAUGAGAUGUGGGACACUAUGAUUGAAAAAAUCCAAGAGGUUAUUUUUAAGCAUGAAAAAAAAGUAUUGCACUUGAAGAUUCAGCAUUUUUUGAUCAUGUGCAUAGAAUAUUGAUUGCAAGAUGGGAUAAAAGUAGCAAUCCUCUUCAAUGCAUGGCACAUACAUUAAAUCCUAAAUAUUAUGGAAAAAAGUGGCUUACAGGGGGUGUUGGAAGAACCCCACCACAUCUGGAUCUAGAAUUAUCAACAAACAGAGUAGCAUGUAUUAAUAGGAUUUUCAUUGAUGUACAUCAAAAUCGCCGAGCUAAUGAUGAGUUUGAAAGGUUUUCUACUGGAAUUGGAGAAGAUGUAGGUGCAACUGUAGACAAAGAUAAUUAUCCAUCUUUAUCUUGGUGGAUUAAACAUGGAACUGCUUAUCCUACUCUUCAAUACCUUGCUUUCAGAUUGCUAGUUCAACCUGCUACAUCUUCAUGCAGUGAGAGAAAUUGGAGUACAUAUUCACAAAUCCACACUAUAAAACGAAAUAAUCUCACAAGCAAACGUGCAGAAAAUCUGGUUUAUGUGCAUUCUAACCUUCGGCUUCUAUCACGGAACAAAGAAGAAUAUAGGGAAGGAGAAACUAAAUAUUGGGACGUGAAUGUUGACGACUUUAACUUAGAACAAGAGAAUGAACUUGAAGUUGUUAAUUCAAGAUUCGAAGAACCUUGUAUUCCCUCAACAUCUUCUAUUGUGGAAGAAGAGGAGAUUGGGGAGAACGAUGAUUUGGGCAUUGAUGAUGACUAGAAUGAUGAUGAACAAUGUUUUGUGAUGAUUGAUGAACAAUGUUUUGUAACUUUCUUUGAGACUUUCUUGCUUAUGUCUUAGCAGUUAUCACUUUUGAGAUUGGUGAUGAACAAUGUUUUGUUUGAGAC